GGAAAGGUCCAUAGCUCAGGAGCAGAGCAUCUGCUUUGCAUGCAGGAGGUCCCAGGUUCAAAUUCCUGGCCUCUCCA